rnacentral:rRNA from 1 species
AGGACGAACGCUGGCGGCGUGCUUAACACAUGCAAGUCGAGCGGAAAGGCCCUUCGGGGUACUCGAGCGGCGAACGGGUGAGUAACACGUGAGUAAUCCGCCUUCAGCUUCUGGGAUAGCUCCGGGAAACCGGGAUUAAUACCGGAUAUGACCACUUCGGACAUCUGUUGUGGUGGAAAGUUUUUCGGCUGGAGAUGAGCUCGCGGCCUAUCAGCUUGUUGGUGGGGUAAAGGCCUACCAAGGCGACGACGGGUA